rnacentral:lncRNA from 1 species
GAUUCAUUAGCAUCCAUAUAAAUCUAGAUAAAGCUAGAAAGUCUUACAUUACGAAACGGAGGGAGUACAUUAGAUCAUGCACAAAAACAUGUACCUGAAUAUGAUGCUUUGUUUUGACCAUUGGCCACAAGAUUUCUUUGGUCGAUCCGGGGACCGUCCAUACGCAAUUUGGAUCAAACAUUAAACCAGGGCUAUUGCAGUCUUGGCCGGCCGGCAACUACGGGAAACGACAAUGACAAAGUUAGCUGGCUGAAUGCAGAAGAAGCUCAGGCUAAUUAAGCAUAGGGGUAAAACUACUUCAUAGCGGACAGCAGGUCUGUGCGCCAUGCUAGUGCUAAGAAGCAGGCUUGGUGUCUCAUGGUGAUAAUGCUGCACCUGUGGCACAGGUUCGACCAGCAUGAUUUCUCACAUGCUGACUUGAUGAUGGAUUCCUUAUGCCUCCAUUUCCUAUUUGAGUUUUUUUUGGUAAAGAUGCUUUAACGUACUAUUGGUGGUGGUGGAGGAGGGGGUGAGGGGUUUGUGCUUUCGUCAUGGGAACGCCGUUCGCGAUCGUGCUAGCUGCAACAAAACAAUGUGUUUGCUAGUAUCCACAUGUCUAAAGAUGGAACGCCAUUGGUGAUCAUGCUAGUUGGACGGCUAGAGUUUUUCUCGUAAAAAACGUGUGGCUAGGGUUUGAGUAUU